AUCGUUUAUGUCCCAGGUAUCUUAACAUCCAAAGACUGCAACUUCUACAAAACGCUGCUGUCAGCGUACAUCUGUGACUAACUCCCUAUGUGCCUGAUCGCUGCUCGAGAUCCUCCGGCAGGGCCAAAAGCUCUACUUGUCAAUUUUAUCUUAUGGCUUUUUCUUAACUUAUGGUAUUUGUUGCAAUUGUCUGAAUUAUUUUGUUUUACAUCUUUUCUUUUAAACUUAUAUUAAUAUUUUUAUUGUAAAGUACAUUGUGACUUUGUUUUGAAACGUGCUAUAUAAAUAAAGGUAUUAUUAUUGUUAUGUAUCAUUACAGCAUGUGACUGCAAAUUCCAUUUUUGCUUUGAGGCUUUCCAACUAGCACAGGUGUGCUUAACACUAACGAAUUCUAAUGAAUAUCAGUGUACCGUUCCCCCUGCAGGCUUCACUGACACCCUGACACAGGAGUUUAAAAAUAAUUUAAUUAAAUAAUGUAUUUAAAUUCCUACCUACUCUUAAAAUAUGUCCAUGCCUGAUUUAAAAAAAGCAAAACAAAGUACAACAUAUUGAAAAGCUGAGACCUAAUGCCAUGAUCAUGCAUUGAAGAAAUUACAUGUCAAAAAUGGGAGGAUAUAUAUUGUUUGCUCCAGCUUUGGAAGCGUCCAUGCUUUAGUGGCAUGGCAGGCAAAGGAUAAAAAGGGAUUGAAUAAAGUAUCCUAAGCUUGCAGCUAGAACAUUUAAUUAACAGACAAUGAUUUGAUCCAACAAGGAUUAUAUUUGUGUUUGCUGACAAUGUUGGAGCUUUCCAAUUUGUAACACCUUGUGGAAGACAGACACCAGAGCCCAUAAAGAUCUCCCUAACGUAAACUUUAUUUCUUCAGUCAGCAGUAGUUCUUAAGGACAGUAAACCCCAGUAAAUGCAGCAUAACAACACAGAAGGCAGUAUCUUUUUUCAGUUGUGUUUUUUCUGAACAGGUUGUGGAGGGAAGAAAAUCUCUCCCAGGUUUCGGAGUAGCCCUCUG